GACAGAGGUGGCAAGCGUUGCUCGGCUUUACUGGGCUUAAAGGGCGCGUAGGCGGCUUUAUAAGUCCGAGGUGGAAUUCCACAGCUUAACUGUGGAACUGCCCUGGAAACUAUAAGGCUUGAGUCAGGUAGAGGAGGGCGGAAUUCCCGGUGUAGCGGUGAAGUGCGUAGAUAUCGGGAGGAAGGCCGGUGGCGAAAGCGGCCCUCUGGGCCUGUACUGACGCUGAGGCGCGAAAGCGUGGGGAGCAAACAGG
rnacentral:rRNA from 1 species